CUUUCCCGCCAUUCAAUUUUUUCCCAAGCGGUGAACGCUUAAUUUAUAUAUAAAUAAAGUAGUACGGUCCUCUCAUUCUCUCAUCAUAUUCAUAAACUCUCAACUGCGUCAAUUCCAUUGCUAGGGUUCAAGAUUCCAGCACUCACUUCCAAUUCUUUAAAGUUAAAGAAGGAGAAGAAAACUCAUGAGGAUUUGUAUUAGUAACUGAAAUAUCAUGUUCUUGACCAUGGAAACUUGUAGUAUUCAUCUCGCAUUCAUUGUUAGGGUUCGACGCCACCAUCCCAAUAGUCGUCUUUGAAGUGGCAUUAUAAAUGGAGUUCCAGUUGAGGAUCUUCAUAAAUUGUUGGGUUCAGUUGAUUUUGGCAACACAUCUCACAAAUGUUUUUCAUAUUUCUUGAAAUUUAAAGAAUUGGAAGCUGUUUCUAAAUUGGACUCUCGCAUAGCACUUUGGGCAUAUGGUACAUGGGGGCUACUAUGUAUGUGGUGACUGGUUCUCUUAGUCAAAGGGUUCCACGCCACCAUGCCCAGAGUAGCUUCAAGAUCUUUUAAGUACCAUUAUGGUAGCGAUUGACAGAGUUCCAUGCCAUCACGGUCACAAAUACUCUCAGUUGAGGAUUUUUCUAAAUUGGUCGGUUUAGUUGAUUUCUUGAAGUUUAAAGAACAGGAUGGUAUUGGUUCUGUUACUUCUGUAGAUGUAGUCCCGCGAUCAUGUGAUUAUUUAGUUGUGAUCUGUUACUUUUGAUGGAAUUAUUUCAAAAUUGUGCAGGAACAAAGAUCAUGGUCACAAAAUUAUUAUAUGGCAAGGACAGAGUAAGUUUGUUAUGCGAUCACUGUACACGAAUAGACUAUGGUUUUAUUUAUUUGCAUAGGGUAGUUAUGAAGCUUGGAAUUGUUUCUUUAAUGAUGAAGAGAGUCAGCCAACUGUUGAAAUAAAAAUGUCCAUGUUGUUUAUGAGGUAGGAUAGAAAUGCUCUAAGUUGAUGAUGUGUAUUCACAAAAACUCAAAAGCUAUCAUAUUCGGCUGCGAUACUGUUUUUUUCA